rnacentral:rRNA from 1 species
UACGUAGGGUGCGAGCGUUGUCCGGAAUUACUGGGCGUAAAGAGCUCGUAGGUGGUUUGUCGCGUUGUUCGUGAAAACUCACAGCUCAACUGUGGGCGUGCGGGCGAUACGGGCAGACUAGAGUACUGCAGGGGAGACUGGAAUUCCUGGUGUAGCGGUGGAAUGCGCAGAUAUCAGGAGGAACACCGGUGGCGAAGGCGGUUCUCUGGGCCUUACCUGACGCUGAGGAGCGAAAGCGUGGGGAGCGAACAGG